rnacentral:rRNA from 1 species
GCCUACGGCCAUACCAGUCUGAAAGUGCCUGAUCUCAUCAGAUCUCAGAAGUCAUGCAGACUUGCGCCUGUUUAGUACUUGUAUGGGAGACCAACUAGGAACCUCAGGUGCCGUAAGCU